rnacentral:piRNA from 1 species
UGUUGCUUGCUAAGUGCCCUGAGACAA